UUUUUAAAUGAGAUCUUGCAUGAAUGGUUGAACAAAGGAGAGACUGUCUUGAGUGAUAAAAUUUGAAUUUUACUUUUAAGUGAGAAGGCUUAAAUAUUUUAAGGGGACGAUAAGACCCUAUAAAACUUUACAUUGGAUUUAUAUUUGGUUGAAUUUAAGUAAUAAAGAUCUAAAAUAAAGAUUUGUUGUGUUGGGGCGACAAAAGUAGAAAUUAUAGUAGCUGCUUAAAAAAGAAUCAUUAUUAGAUGAUAUGAGUUGAAGAUCUUAACUAAAAAUUUAAAGAUUAAGUUACUUUAGGGAUAACAGUGUAAUUUUUUUUGAGAGUUCAUAUCGAAAGAAAAGUUUGCAACCUCGAUGUUGAAUUAAAAUAUCUUUAUGAUGAAGCAGUUAUAUAAGAGGGUCUGUUCGACCUUUAAUUUUUUAC
rnacentral:rRNA from 1 species